rnacentral:rRNA from 1 species
AGCAGCCGCGGUAAUUCCAGCUCCAAUAGCGUAUAUUAAAGUUGUUGCAGUUAAAAGCUCGUAGUUGAAUUUCGGGGUUAGCAGGUCGGUCGUGCCAUCGGUAUGAACUGGUCUCGCUGAUCCCUCCCUCUUGACGAACUGUGAUGCCAUUGAUUUGGUGUCGCAGGGAAUCAGGACUGUUACUUUGAAAAAUUGAGUGUUUAAAGCAGGCUCACGCUUGAAUACAUUAGCAUGGAAUAAUGAAAUAGGACGUUUGAUCCUAUUUGUUGGCUUCCAGGAUUGACGUAAUGAUUAAUAGGGAUAGUUGGGGGCAUUAGUAUUCAAUUGC